UACGUAGGGUGCGAGCGUUAAUCGGAAUUACUGGGCGUAAAGCGCGCGCAGGCGGUCCUUCAAGUCAGAGGUGAAAGCCCAGGCUCAACCUGGAACUGCCUUGAAACUGGAGGACUUGAGUACGGGAGAGGUGAGUGGAAUUCCGAGUGUAGAGGUGAAAUUCGUAGAUAUUCGGAAGAACACCAGUGGCGAAGGCGGCUCACUGGCCCGUUACUGACGCUGAGGCACGAAAGCGUGGGGAGCAAACAGG
rnacentral:rRNA from 1 species